rnacentral:rRNA from 1 species
CAGCAGCCGCGGGAAUACGUAGGUGGCAAGCGUUGUCCGGAAUUAUUGGGCGUAAAGGGCUCGCAGGCGGUUUCUUAAGCCUGAUGUGAAAGCCCCUGGCUCAACCGGGGAGGGUCAUUGGAAACUGGGAAACUUGAGUGCAGAAGAGGAGAGUGUAAUUCCACGUGUAGCGGUGAAAUGCGUAGAGAUGUGCAGGAACACCAGUGGCGAAGGCGACUCUCUGGUCUGUAACUGACGCUGAGGAGCGAAAGCGUGGGGAGCGAACAGGAUUAGAUACCCCAGUAGUCCCUGUCUCUUAUAC